CGCCCGCCGCGGAGCCCAGCCCCUGCCGCGGGGAGACCCCGGGCUCCUGUUCCUCAGAGCCGGGCCGCCCCCGUCUAUGUGGGACCCCCCAGGGUGACCCCCGCCCGUGUGGCACCCCUGAAAGCCUGACCCCCUGUGUCGGCCCCCUCAGUCGUGGUGUGGGAGCGCCCCUUGUCUGAGUGACCCCCGCCCGUGUGGCACCCCUGAAAGCCUGACCCCCUGUGUCGGCCCCCUCAGUUGUGGUGUGGGAGCGCCCCUUGUCUGGGUGAUCCCCCCAGGGUGACCCCCGCCCGUGUGGCACCCCUGAAAGCCUGACCCCCUGUCUGUCAGCCCCCCCAGUCGUGGUGUGGGAGCGCCCCUUGUCUGAGUGACCCCCGCCCGUGUGGCACCCCUGAAAGCCUGACCCCCUGUGUCGGCCCCCUCAGUUGUGGUGUGAGAGCGCCCCUUGUCUGGGUGAUCCCCCCAGGGUGACCCCUGCCCGUGUGGCACCCCUGAAAGCCUGAUCCCCUGUCUGUCAGCCCCCCCAGUCGUGGUGUGGGAGCGCCCCUUGUCUGGGUGAUCCCCCCCAGGGUGACCCCCGCCCGUGUGGCACCCCUGAAAGCCUGAUCCCCUGUCUGUCAGCCCCCCCAGUCGUGGUGUGGGAGCGCCCCUUGUCUGGGUGAUCCCCCCAGGGUGACCCCCGCCCGUGUGGCACCCCUGAAAGCCUGAUCCCCUGUCUGUCAGCCCCCCCAGUCGUGGUGUGGGAGCGCCCCUUGUCUGGGUGAUCCCCGAGCCCAUCUCUGUGGGAUCCCCUGGAGCCGUGGGGAUGGGUGCCCCUGUUCUCUUCUCCCCCCAACCCAGACUGUACGUCCCCCCACGGGUGAAAGUGAUGACUGUGUGCAUGAUUAACAGCACUAAACCUGCUUUCGCUUUCCCCAUGUCUGCCCCCGCCUGUGAGUUUGUGAGGUACCUAGCACCUAGGGAGGGGUGUUAUGGGUGCUUCGGUUCUGAUGCUGCAGCCAGCUUCAAGCAUGUGUGCUGGCCCCUUGCCUUUGGAAGCAGAUGGCGGUGUCAAAGGACGUGACAGGGCUCUGGCAGCCAACUGACUUUCUGCAGAAAGGAUUAUAGUUUGUGCCCUGCAUGAUGCUGCCACCUGAGUCCAUGUUGGGCUGGCAGCCUCCAGCUCUGCAAAACUGAGUGCACCCUUAUUCCUGGGAAUUUGAGUGGGUAAUUUAAGACUGUGUAAACAUCAAUAGUUUGAAGGAGGAAGCUUGUCCAAGGUUGGUGUCUCUUGAACUGCAGAGUAGUUAAGGAGAUACCAUUUACUGAGAUCACUCCAGAAAACAGAGGAAUGAUUUGUUUUUAACUUUGUAUACUCCACUCAUUAAGGGUAGGAAGAGGACAGGCAGGUGAAUGUUUUGGUGGGGAAAGGGGGUUUUUAUUGAAGUCUGUACCUACUUUU